rnacentral:rRNA from 1 species
AACGAACGCUGGCGGCAGGCUUAACACAUGCAAGUCGAGCGCGCCGCAAGGGGAGCGGCAGACGGGUGAGUAACGCGUGGGAAUCUACCCAUCUCUACGGAAUAACGCAUGGAAACGUGUGCUAAUACCGUAUACGUCCUUCGGGAGAAAGAUUUAUCGGAGAUGGAUGAGCCCGCGUUGGAUUAGCUAGUUGGUGGGGUAAAGGCCUACCAAGGCGACGAUCCAUAGCUGGUCUGAGAGGAUGAUCAGCCACACUGGGACUGAGACACGGCCCAGACUCCUACGGGAGGCGGCAGUGGGGAAUAUUGGACAAUGGGCGCAAGCCUGAUCCAGCCAUGCCGCGUGAGUGAUGAAGGCCCUAGGGUUGUAAAGCUCUUUCACCGGUGAAGAUAAUGACGGUAACCGGAGAAGAAGCCCCGGCUAACUUCGUGCCAGCCGCCGCCGUAAUAC